GGUUCAGAAUGAACGCUGGCGGCAUGGAUUAGGCAUGCAAGUCGAACGUGCUCCCUUCGGGGAGAAAGUGGCGAAAGGGUGAGUAACACGUGAGCAACCUGCCUCCGGAUCCGGAAUAAUCCAGGGAAACUUGGUCUAAAACCGGAUGAAGACAUUGGUCCGCAUGGUCUAAUGUUAAAAUAUUUAUAGUCCGGAGAGGGGCUCGCGGCCCAUUAGCUUGUUGGCGGGGUAAUGGCCCACCAAGGCUACGACGGGUAGGUGGUCUGAGAGGAUGGUCACCCACACUGGGACUGAGACACUGCCCAGACUCCUACGGGAGGCUGCAGUCGAGAAUCUUCCGCAAUGGGCGCAAAGCCUGACGGAGCGAUGCCGCGUGAGGGAUGAAGGCCUUCGGGUUGUAAACCUCUGUCAUCCGGGACGAAAACAAUGACGGUACCGGAAAAGGAAGCCACGGCUAACCACGUGCCAGCAGCCGC
rnacentral:rRNA from 1 species